CCUGACGUGCAAAAUGCCUCUGGCCCUUAGGUUCUAAGACAGGAUUGUGGGCCUGUGUUACUUUUACAAUCGGCAAACAAACAGAAACAUACGAAAACGGUCAUGAUACUCCUCUACUCAACAGGAUAAGAUGUGUUAAGACGGUUUUUGCUUUGGGUUUUGGUUUUUUUGAGAGAAAGAAAGGGUGCAAAUGAGCCAGGGGCAGAGGGAGGGAGAGAGAAUCCCAGGAGGGGCAGAUGGGGAGAGGGAGAGAGAGAGAGAGGAAGAAGGAAGUGGGGCUCAAGCUCACCUGAUCCAGGGCUGGCACUCAUGAACCGUGAGACCACGACCUGAGCCAAAGUCAGAUGCUUGGCGAUCGAGCCACCCAGGCGUCCAAGGAGGUAUUAUUAAGUAAACACUCACCCAAAAAGUUCUCUCUGAAAACUAAAUUACAAAAAAAAAAAAAAAAGGUAUGGGUAGUCGUCCUAAUCUUAUUUUACAGAUGAGGAAAUAGGUGCUCGGAAGGUUUUGAACCAGAAGUCCCACAGCUGGAGCACGCUGGUGUUGGACGUAGAUCUCAGGUGUUUAUGACCACAGCUCACCCAUCUGAGCCCCACACAUGACUGCCUUCCUGUUUCUGGACUCCAGGCACAGCGCCUGGCAGGGACAGGCAUCUAUGAUGUCACAGGGCUGAACGAAUGAGCACUUUCUUGGCGUGAGGUUAAUUUCAUAGAAGGCCAAGGUCAUCUGAAUUCCAUCUUAAACAGGAAAGAAAGCAAGGUGCAGCUUGGCAGGGCCUAGAUAAGAGCUGAGGCCACUGAUGUAUGUUCGGUUGCAGCCUGGAAACCAUCACGGGGGAUGACAUAAACCACCGUCCGCGUACGAUGCUUUAUAGGUUGUGUGGACACGGGCUCCGGAGCCAGACCCCUUGGGUUCCGAUCCACGUUCACCAUUCAUUAGUUGCAAGAGCUCUGACUCCCGGAAGAAGGAAGAGGACGGCCCCUCGGGGCCGCACAGAAUGGACAGGCCAAGCGACAGGAGGGAGGCCGCCCGCGCUCCUCCAGGGCCUCGAGGAAGGCACAGUCACACCUGCAAAACACAGCGCCCAUCUUUUUCAUCCACUUUUACUUCUCAGGAGACCCCGGUCCCCAGAGACCUAUUUUCACCUCCCCAGCUCGGCACACGUUUUCUACAUGAUAUUAACCGGUCGCCUUUGAAUCUCGCACAUCCUGGUAUGCUUUGGAUUCACCGACCUCAUUUUUACACACACACACACACACACACACACACACACCGGAAUCUGUACCAGCUGACUGCCGGCAAAAGAAAACGUUAGUGUGGCUCUCUCUCCUUCUUUUAAACAGCUUAAUUGAGAUACAAUGUACACGCCAUAAAACUCACUUAAAGUGUGUUCUUGCCUGACUUUGCGUUUAUUUACUGGGGUGUGCAUUAGCUGUUUCUUCUUGAAAAAUGGGGCCGCCGGGUGGACGUUUUGACCCUACAGGCUCCCCCCUUUGACAGGUGACAUCUAAAUAGAGAGCAGAUUCUGUCCAUGUUUCCACCCCCUUCGCCCCCCUCCAAAAGUUGUUUUACUCAUUUUGCCACUUACAACCUACUUCCUGUGUUUGGAGUCUGAGCCGCCCAGGCCUUUUCAGGAGACUUGCUGCCUUGUUUCUGCACUAAUAGUAAGUUUCUUUUGUGUUGGAGGGAUUUUCUGUUCGGUUUUUUGUUAUUUAGAGUCUUCUGCUGUUUCCCUUAACUGCGGGGCUGGGGAGACCCCAAUGAAGGGUAUCUGUGUGGCCUAACGGACUCUGCAGAAGUAUUUGGUACUUAGAGCCAAAUGUAAACGUUCGCAGCAUUCUGACUCUGGGGGUGGUCAGAAAGGAAGAUGGUUAGGAAUAUGAAGAGGCCUGGAGCUUUUUCCUGAUAUUAAAAUGUUAAUCUCUAGUUUCGCUCUGACUGCUGUCUCUGUUCCCUCGUUUGAAGAAUAGGAUUUAAAAUAACUGCUUCAUGGGGCGCCCGGGUGGCUCUGUCUGCGAAGCAUCCGACUCCAGCUCAGGUCACGAUCUCGCGGCUCGUGAGUUCGAGCCCCACGUCGGGCUCUGUGCCGACAGCUCGGAGCCCGGAGCCCGCUUCGGAUUCUGUGUCCCUCUUUCUCUCCACCCCACCCCUGCUUGUGCUCUGUCUCUCUGUGUCUUUCAAAAAUAACUGCUUCAG
rnacentral:lncRNA from 1 species